AUUGAACGCUGGCGGCAGGCCUAACACAUGCAAGUCGAGCGGAUGAAGGGAGCUUGCUCCUGGAUUCAGCGGCGGGCGGGUGAGUAAUGCCUAGGAAUCUGCCUGGUAGUGGGGGAUGACGUCCGGACACGGGCGCUAAUACUGCAUACGUCCUGAGGGUGAUAGUGGGGGAUCUUCGGACAUCUUGCUAUCAGAUGAGCCUAGGUCGGAUUAGCUAGUUGGUGGGGUAAAGGCCUACCAAGGCGACGAUCCGUAACUGGUCUGAGAGGAUGAUCAGUCACACUGGAAGUGAGACACGGUCCUGACUCCUACGGGAGGCAGCAGUGGGGAAUAGUGGACAGUGGGCGAAAGCCUGAUCCAGCCAUGCCGCGUGUGUGAAGAAGGUCUUCGGAUUGUAAAGCACUUUAAGUGGGGAGGAAGGGCAGUAAGUUAAUACCUUGCUGUUUUGACGUUAACAACAGAAUAAGCACCGGCUAACUUCGUG
rnacentral:rRNA from 1 species